UACGUAGGGUGCGAGCGUUAAUCGGAAUUACUGGGCGUAAAGCGUGCGCAGGCGGUUUGUUAAGUCUGAUGUGAAAGCCCCGGGCUCAACCUGGGAACUGCAUUGGAAACUGGCAAUCUAGAGUGUGUCAGAGGGGGGUAGAAUUCCACGUGUAGCAGUGAAAUGCGUAGAGAUGUGGAGGAAUACCGAUGGCGAAGGCAGCCCCCUGGGAUAACACUGACGCUCAUGUACGAAAGCGUGGGUAGCAAACAGG
rnacentral:rRNA from 1 species